rnacentral:ncRNA from 2 species
AAGGUUACUUGUUAGUUCAGGACCUCAUUAUUUUUUGCCUGAACUAUAGCAGUAGCCUCUU